rnacentral:tRNA from 1 species
GCAGUAGUAGCUCAAUGCUAGAGCACCGGUCUUGUAAUCCGGGUGCGGAGGCUCAAAUCCUCCCUACCGCU